GUUUUAGGUUUAGCAUCCAUGUGUUCUUUGAAGAUAAGUGCAACAAAUACCCUGCAUGGAAUCCAUGUUUUGUGUUUUCUGGAAUCUGCUAUGUAUAUGUUGUCGUCUCUUUUUCCUUGUUUUCUCGAAUUAGUAGUCUUGCAUUAAACCUAUGAAAACAACCGUAGAACUGUAAGAAAGUGCAGGGCACUGAAAGGAUACUUGAAGGGGAACUUCAGUGAAUCUCUUGUGCUUUUAUUCCCUCCCGCUGCUCUUUUAAGUGGUAUUGGAUUAAUACACCUUUUUAUUGUUGGAGUUAUCUUGCCACAUCUUAUUAUCUCACACCAAACUUGCACAUGAAAAGCCAAAAAAAGCAUGUAACAUGAUUGAAUGGUUCCUUCUAAUGCUUUGCUGGAAGUGUUAAUUGUUUAGCCAGGGCUAUGUGAGAAACAGGUUCAAUGAAGUCUGCAGUCCGUAACUUUGUUAUUUGCUAAUGUCUAAGAAAGCGCCAAUUGGUUGUAAAAUCUGCAAAAUGUGGCAGCCCUUCUUCAACCAACUGCCACCUCUGUAAAACUGGAUUUUUGAACUGUAUGGAUUUGCAUCCUUUUAUAGCAUAUUCAGACUUGGGACCUCAAUGCUUGGUUUUAGUGGUUUUACACUGUAGUGAUUGUAAACAUAGCUUUGUAGUGAAAUCCCGAGUCUAAAGCAUUACAAAUGCUACGGAU
rnacentral:lncRNA from 1 species